GUUGACCUCGGAUCAGGUAGGAAUACCCGCUGAACUUAAGCAUAUCAAUAGCCCGGAGGAAAGAUCAUUACCGAGUUUACAACUCAAAACCGGUGAAC
rnacentral:rRNA from 1 species